rnacentral:sRNA from 1 species
UUUAAAGUGUGUUGUAGUUUGGUUUCCAUAUAAGAGUAUCACAAAACAUUUUAUAAAAUUAAUUUUCUUGACUCUUGUAUAAUUAAACUUCAAUUAAGAAUACAUUUAAGAAGUAAUGGUUUUCCUUUUUAACUUUGAAUGCAUGCAUGAUAUUUUAACAUCUUUUAUCUAAAGAAAAUGUACGGUAUGUGUUUUGAACAUUUUCAGCAGUUGUAUGUGGUGUUGUUACAAGUUAAGAUUAUCAAAAUAUGGUCCAGUUUGCUCCAGCCAAUUGUUAUGCUGCAAUUAAUGUUAACAUUUAAAUGCUUUUUUUAAUGCAGAAAUAUUUUGUUCAACUGCAUGUAUAUUGCCAAUAUUUUGUAAGAAUAGGAAAACUUUAGCCUACACUUUCAUAAAUAAGUAAUGUUGAAUCAGAAUGUCAGCCAGUAAAACAGGUAAUAUUUCUGUUAUCAGAAAAAUCCUCAUUUCACUUGAGGAAAAGUCAAUUCUCUUGAAUAAAAUGACUUGAAGAAGUAUAUUUCCUUCACAAAAUAUUUGAUAAAGAAAAUGGUGCAGAUUUUAAUAUGUGACUGUUUAAUUGUUGCAUGAAAAUAAUGUUAUCUUCCAAGUAUCAUUGAAUACCUCUUUAUAUUAAUAGUUUUCACCUAGUCAUAGUUUUAUGAGUGCUUGUUUGAAGUUAUGGUUUACAUUUUUUCUAUUUAACUGUAACCAACGUAUACAGUACAUGUAAACAUAAUCAUAGCAAGUAAGAUUUGCUGUGGAGUUCUACUGACGGUGUAUUGUUUAUUUUUCUUCUUCUGGAUUUGCAUACCGAAGCUACAGAUAUUUUUACUUCUUUGAAUUUAUGUCGUAUGACAUUAACAAUCAAUCAUAUAGGGUUUGUAAUAUGAAGUUAAAUUUUCUUGUUGGCAAAAGUAAGGUUGAAGAGUAGCUUGAUGCUGCAAUGCAAAAAAAUUGAUUCUGCUUAAUAAUUCAGUGUGCAAAUUUGUAAUACCUGUGUACAUUUAUUGGAUUAUUUAAAACAGACUUUUAUUUAGUUGAAAAAUUAUUUCCAAGACACAUGUAUUAUAUACAAUAAUUUACACGUAAGUUUGAAUUUGAUUUAUUUUUUUUAUAGAAUUGAAUUGUUUAUUAAAGACAAUAAAGGUUGAUAAUGAC